CAAAGAAAAGCAAAGGCUCAUUGGCAAACUUGUCCAGCUGCUUCUUCAGAGGCUUUUCCAGUUCAACCCAGCGGGGUUGCUGGCUCUUGCUGAGAAACCAAAGGCCAAAGUAGUGUGUCUAGAUAAAGAAACAAAAUAGCGUCAUGUAGAGAAAGAGU